AGAAGGCCAAGAUGGAGGACGAGGAACCUGAACCAGCAUGGUUUUAGACACCCACAGUAUUUCCACAGGAGAACCUUUUUUGCCUAGUGUUCAAAUACAAGGUUGAAGAUUAUGAUGAUAAAAUCCAACCAAGUUGUCAACAAUACUAAUCCAGAAAGAGAGAAAAUGUCUAAAGGAGAGUAGGCAGGGGAGCUGCAGUAGUUGGAAACAGGUCCAUAUGGUGAAAGCUGGACCGCUGGACACUGGCUUGCAUCUGAAAGGAGACCCCGCCAAUCUAGGGCAGAAGGCAAAGAAAAAAGUCAACAAUGGCCCAGCUGCAGAGAGAACCGGAAGCUUGUCUUCCAAGGACUGCAGCUGUGAGGGAUGGCCACGCCCCUUCCUGAAGAGUCUUCUGAAGUCACAGGAAUGAUGGGGAACAUGUCUCUUUGAAACUUUAUCUCUAAAGGACGAAACCCCUUACUCUUGCUUGGACGACUUGGGAUUUACCUAAGAUGCUUGGACAUUCGGUAAAUCCUCACUAUUCACCGGCAAUGAGGAACUGUCCACUUGGUACUGGAACCAGUAAGUGUCCGGCAGUAACUGCACUUGACUUUCAAAAGUACAACAUAGUUUAAGUCCAAUACAGACCUAAUUCUUGAACUCCA